CAAUAGCGUAUAUUAAAGUUGUUGCAGUUAAAAAGCUCGUAGUUGGAUUUGUGGCGUACGGUGUGUUCCGGGCUCUUGUUGUCUGAGUAACCUGCUGUUGCCAUCCUUGGGUGGAACCUGUGUGGCAUUAGGUUGUCGUGCAGGGGAUGCCCAUCAUUUACUGUGAAAAAAUUAGAGUGUUCAAAGCAGGCUUAUGCCGUUGAAUAUAUUAGCAUGGAAUAAUGAGAUAGGACUUUUUUGCUAUUUUGUUGGUUUGCGCAAAGAGGUAAUGAUUAAUAGGGACAGUUGGGGGUAUUCGUAUUCCAUUGUCAGAGGUGAAAUUCUUGGAUUUUUGGAAGACGAACUACUGCGAAAGCAUUUACCAAGGAUGUUUUCAUUAA
rnacentral:rRNA from 1 species